AGAAUGAGUGGGAAAAGAAUCGUUAACAACAAAAAGAAUCAGAAAAGAAAAGUAGUCAUGAAGAGAAAAGGAAAGGAAUCAGGGCGGGAACGGCGACGGUCCCCGUCUAGCUAAUAGAGAUUCCCUCUCUCAUUUUUCCCCUUUAACGAGGAUUCUCUCCCGCCUGGUUCCCGCGGGCCCGUCAUUUGCUUGAUUCUCUUUUAUUGAAGAAAUUCAUCCAGCAGCCGGUGAUCUGCAGUGCGCUUCUCAGAUGGAGAAGGCAGUGGAUGUACAACGCUCCCCAUUCAAGAUUCUGAUCGCCUCUCCAUCUGGUCUUACUCCAUCACAGGUUUCUAUAGCUUUCAGCGACAAGUACGAUAGGAUUUCGCAUCCCGAUUCUAGCUUGGAGGAUUCCAUUACCGAGAUUUGGAAUCAACGGCUUCAGACAAACUCAUCAUUAUUCAAUGGAAAGAAGUUCAGAUAUGGAGGAUUCACAUUCCUUAGUGAAGGAGGUAGUUCGAAUGAAGAUCCUCACGUAUGUCUCCACUUAGGUUUGACAGAUUAUAGGACUUUUGUGGGAACAAACUUAAGUCCUUUGUGGGAAAGGUUCCUUGUUCCAUCAGAAGAUGACUCAAUCUUAUGUCAACAUUCCUCAAGUCCUCUGGGUAACGGCGCUAUUGUGGAGACUUCGGAUGGGAAAAUAGUUUUGUUGAAGAGGAGUAAUAAUGUAGGAGAAUUCCCAGGUCACUUUGUAUUUCCAGGAGGUCAUCCGGAGCCCCAAGAGCUUGGAAUAGAAUCCCAUGACGAUGCAAAAGGUUUUGCAGAUCCCAAUACCAUUGACGAAAAGCUUUCACAUGAGAUGUUUAAUAGCAUUAUCCGGGAAGUUGUAGAAGAAAUUGGAGUACCACCAGAAUCCCUUUGCAACCCAGUUCUUAUUGGUGUAUCCCGCAGAGAAUUAAAUGUCAGACCAGCUGCUUUCUUCUUUAUAAAGUGUAGUCUGGAUUCUCUUGAAAUUCAGAAACUAUAUACCAGUGCACAAGAUGGCUACGAGUCCACUCAACUUUAUACAGUUCCAAUGGUUGAUGUAGAGAACAUGACGUUGAAAAUGCCGGGCUGCCAUCAUGGCGGAUUUUAUCUCUACAAGCUGAUGCUACAAGCUGCCGAUGAUAAUAAUAUAACUGCUGAUUAGAUCAAGUUCUCAGCCGUUUCCAUAUUUCAUGGGAAUUAUCCAUGAUUAAACUCGGUGAACAUGUUGGAAAGCAGUUAAAGGAAAGUUUUUGGGCUCCCAGGAAUCUUAAUACAGAAGCUUCAACAAGAAAGGAAAGUACGAAGGAUGUUGUGCUGCAGGUUUCGAUAUUACUAAUCAACCUUUAUUAUAUAUUUUAAUGCUUGGAGUCGAGCAACAAAGAUUAAUGCAAGCCCACAUAGGUAUGCAUUAUCUUUCCUGGUAUAAACUGCGAGAUUAUUUGUUAUGCCUUCUAUCUUUUUCUUCAAAAAAUGGGUGAAAUAUCACUAAGAAUUUUUAUUUUUUUGCCAUGUCAUUUCUACAUUGAAAAAAAAAAAAAAAAAGUAGGCCUAUCUAUUUAUUCAGUAUGUCAUCAAGGCACCAAUAAAAAUGGACCAGAUAUAAAAGUAGGAAGAAGAGCUUCUACUUAUUGAUGGAAGGUGUAGCAUGUUGCGUUCAUGAUCUUUCUUUCUCAUAUUUUAUUAGCAUUAUUAGUCAGCUUCAUAUUAAAAUACACGCAUUUAGAGCAACGUUUCUUUAUGAGUUUAGUAUUCUGGGGACAUGCUAGUCAAUACAAUAGUCAUAACACGUUGAGCUUAUUUUUAGGGAUUGUCAAAUUAGAUUAGCUGAUGGAUUAAGUUUUUCCUUCGUAAGAAAAUGGAAACAUUUGACUAUCCCACAACCCCAUCAUUGAUAUCAUCCCUCAAGUCAAUACUAUUUUCUAGAACUCAAGGACAAUAAUUUCACCCCCCAUCUCGGGUAAUUAUUAGGAGUGAACACCAAAACCAACCAAACCUAAUUAGAUGACAAAUUUGAUUUUAAAAGAAUUCAAAAUUCGAUUAUUACAAAAUCAUGGUUUAGUUUAGUUUGGUUUUUUUUCUAAUAGUCGUGAGUGUCCAGACUCGUACCUUGAUAGAUUUCACGAAACAACCUUACAACAUUUUUAUUGUAAUUAAAUGCAAGGACCUAGGAUUUCUUGUCUACAUGUAUUGGUGCAAGAGUUAACUCAUGGUGGCACAACUUUACAAUAUUUGUGUCAAACAAAUUAAUGGGCCCAACUGAGGGUGGUUGAAAUUUUUGAUUUGAUCAAGAAGACCCUAUAAAUAUUCCAUAUAUACGAAGGCACUUCAUAAAUGUCAAGACUCAAUUGAUCAAAAAUACAAAGGUGUUUGACUCUAGAAUAGAUAUCAGCAGCAGUUGUUUACUUUUGCGCAUUUGUUAAAAAUGAUGGAUCAAGCAAAAUCUCCCACUGAAAAAUUGGACUGCUUCAAGUAGCGAAAGCGACCAUUGUUUUUUUCUUUUUCAGUUUCUCACACUGAGAGCUUAGACAACAACACAAGUAGAUGUAAGAUAAAGCAACCUUUAUUGGCCAAGUAAAGUCCAAAGUCAACAACCCAUUACAAUA